UUGGCUUCACUUUUCGCAUUGUCCGUUUUUACAUGUCGAUGGACCAACUAAAUAUCUGUAUAUGUGUUUGUACUUGUACUGAGCAGGGCUUAAACCCAAAGCUUGAAAUCAGUGCCUGAAAUGGGCCAGUACUGAUUUUUGUCCACACGAAUACUCUUCCUUCCACUUCCUGGUUAGUCUAAGUGCACACCCCUAAACACCUGUUACAUUGGAUUUUUUUCUCCCACCGGCAUUCAUUGAAGACCCUCCCUACUCUGAUUCUGAUUGACUAGUGUUGUCUUCAUUGGUUAGGUUUAGGCAUGAGGAAUGAGAUGGUUUGGAUGCUGGCUUGCACCUGAGAGGCCCUCAACAAAGGAAAGCAAUCUUCAGCAAGUGGAGGAGAGGGCACAUGCUGAUCACCAUGGAGAGACGCUGAAGGAAGAAGGGGAGAAAGAGGUAAAAAACUGCACUAACUGUAAUCAAUAAAGAAGCCAUUUAAUUGGCGGGGUCUGAGUUCAUUCAGCUUCCUGCUAGAGAGCCGUAGGAGGGGACGAGUCAAACGACACCAUUUAAGUUCUACCAAUAGUGUGUGUAUCUCUGUUUGUGCUUUUGCUCUUGAAAGAACAAUUUUGAGUAUUAAAGCUUGAAAGCAAGCUUUUUGGUUUUUCAAAGUUUAUUUAAAGCUGCAGUAGGUAACAUUUGUCAUAUUUGCUGAAACUUUCACUAUAUCCUGACAGUAGUACAUGAGACAGAUCAUCUGUAAAAAAAAAAAAAAAAAAAAAUCUGGUUCCUCUGGCUCCUCCUAGUGCUCCUAAUGGAAUUUGCAAGAAUCCAGGCCUGAACAAAAACAACCACUGUCUUUCAGUAAUAUGUUUGAAGACAUGAAAACAAGAUAAAAAUAUUUUGAUAAAGCCUUCAUUUUUGACAAAUUAUGUCCCACGGUCCACAUGCAGCACCACCUAAAAGCUGCAGUAGGUAAUUUAAUUUUUUUUUUUUUAAUGAAAAAAAAACCAAUCAGAGCCAAAAAAGAUAGCUGAUUGUUUUGAGACUUUUUAUAUCUUUCUCUGCUCUGAUUGGUUGUUUUUGCUCAGGCCCAGUGGAUUCUUGCAAAUGCCAUUGGGAGCACUAGGAGGAGCCAGAGGAACCUGAUUUUUUUCACAAAUUAUCUGUCUCAUGUACUACUGUCAGGAUAUAGUGAAAGUUUCAGCAAAUAUGACAAAGUAUUUAUUUAUUUUUUAAUAAAAAUCGCUUUAAAUGGGAUAAAACUAGGACUGAGUCAGUUCCUUACCAUUACAUCCUAAAAUUUAGGGUAUAGUGCUGAUGGAAGGUUAGUCCUAAC
rnacentral:lncRNA from 1 species